rnacentral:lncRNA from 1 species
ACAAAGUUCAGCUACUAGCCUCUCUCGUACCGGCAGAAGACUUAAGAGGAGCCGAGGAGGAGAGGCUGGUGCGACUUAAUUCUAUAAGUAAUUAAGAUACACAUAUAUAUAUAUAUAUAUAUAUAGUACAUCCAACUGCCCAUAUAUUUCUUACUAGUAUGGGAGUAUAUUUAUAAAUAGUACUACUACGUGCGCUAGCUAAUAAUUAAGCCAUUCACGGGAUUAUUAUUAAGCAGUGCGCCUGCUCCACCACCGUAGGAAUUGGAAGGCUGGUAGGAGAACUCCAUAACCACCGUCUCCGUGGUGGCAGAAAGUAGCGGAGCCACCUGAAAAACCUGGGACUGUGGUUGAUACUGAUACUUACAUAUUGGGCGUUCUUCUGAAAUAGUAUAAGUAGUACCAGUACUAGUACUAAUACUAUUCCUUCCUUUUCUUCCAAAGCUCUCAAAUCCUAACUUUUUAGCAAGCUUUUCUGCCUUCUGUGUCAUAUCUAUACUUGCAGUAUUUUUUCCCUUAAAACUAUAUAAUAUAAUUAAGCUAUUUAGUAAGUCUAGUAGUGUAUCUUCUUUCUUUGGUUUAUAAGCUAUGGAACAACACCCUUUAUAUAGAAAUUAAGCUUAUUGAGAGGGAAUGACUUUUACUGGGGUAGUUUUGUUAAUUCACAGGAGUAGUAUGAAAAAUCAAAUAAUCGAUAUUAACAUAUCAUUUU